AUUGAACGCUGGCGGCAGGCCUAACACAUGCAAGUCGAGCGCGAAAGUCUUCGGAUGAGUAAAGCGGCGGACGGGUGAGUAAUGCAUGGGAAUCUGCCUGGUAGUGGGGGACAACGUUUCGAAAGAGACGCUAAUACCGCAUACGCCCUACGGGGGAAAGGGGGGGAUCUUCGGACCUCUCGCUAUCAGAUGAGCCCAUGUCAGAUUAGCUAGUUGGUAGGGUAAAGGCCUACCAAGGCGACGAUCUGUAACUGGUCUGAGGGGAGGAUCAGUCGCACUGGGACUGAGACACGGUCGAGACUCCUACGGGAGGCAGCAGUGGGGAAUAUUGGACAAUGGGGGCAACCAUGAUCCAGCCAUGCCGCGUGUGUGAAGAAGGCCCUAGGGUUGUAAAGCACUUUCAGUGGGGAGAAAGGUUGCUCAGUUAAUACCUGAAUGAAUUGAUGUUACCCACAGAAGAAGCACCGGCUAACUCCGUGCCAGCCGCCGCCGUAA
rnacentral:rRNA from 1 species